GAUGAACGCUGGCGGCGUGCCUAACACAUGCAAGUCGAACGAGAUGCGUAUCGGAAAGCUUCGGCCGGAAGAUGCGUUAUCUAGUGGCGGACGGGUGAGUAACACGUGGGUAACCUGCCUUAUGGAGGGGGAUAACAGAGAGAAAUCACUGCUAAUACCGCAUAAGCACACAGUACCGCAUGGUACAGGGUGAAAAGAUUUAUCGCCAUAAGAUGGACCCGCGUCUGAUUAGCCAGUUGGCAGGGUAAAAGCCUACCAAAGCAACGAUCAGUAGCCGGUCUGAGAGGAUGACCGGCCACAUGGGGACGGAGACACGGCCAAAACUCCUACGGGAGGCAGCAGUGGGGAAUAUUGAACAAUGGGGGAAACCCUGAUGCAGCGACGCCGCGUGAGUGAAGGAGUAUUUCGGUAUGUAAAGCUCUAUCAGCAGGGAAGAUAAUGACAGUACCUGACUAAGAAGCCCCGGCUAACUACGUGCCAGCCGCCGCCGUAA
rnacentral:rRNA from 1 species